GAUCCUGGCUCAGGAUGAACGCUGGCGGCGUGCUUAGCACAUGCAAGUCGAACGGACUUUAUAUGAAGCCUAGCGAUUGUAAAGUUAGUGGCGGACGGGUGAGUAACGCGUGAAUAACCUGCCCUGUACCGGGGGACAACAGUUGGAAACGGCUGCUAAUACCGCAUAAGCGCACGGUUCCGCAUGGAACAGUGUGAAAAACUCCGGUGGUACAGGAUGGAUUCGCGUCUGAUUAGCCAGUUGGUGGGG
rnacentral:rRNA from 1 species